rnacentral:rRNA from 1 species
AUUGAACGCUGGCGGCAGGCCUAACACAUGCAAGUCGAACGGUAACAGGAAGAAGCUUGCUUCUUUGCUGACGAGUGGCGGACGGGUGAGUAAUGUCUGGGAAACUGCCUGAUGGAGGGGGAUAACUACUGGAAACGGUAGCUAAUACCGCAUAACGUCGCAAGACCAAAGAGGGGGACCUUCGGGCCUCUUGCCAUCGGAUGUGCCCAGAUGGGAUUAGCUAGUAGGUGGGGUAACGGCUCACCUAGGCGACGAUCCCUAGCUGGUCUGAGAGGAUGACCAGCCACACUGGAACUGAGACACGGUCCAGACUCCUACGGGAGGCAGCAGUGGGGAAUAUUGCACAAUGGGCGCAAGCCUGAUGCAGCCAUGCCGCGUGUAUGAAGAAGGCCUUCGGCUUGUAAAGUACUUUCAGCGGGGAGGAAGGGAGUAAAGUUAAUACCUUUGCUCAUUGACGUUACCCGCAGAAGAAGCACCGGCUAACUCCGUG